rnacentral:rRNA from 1 species
AUACGGAGGAUGCGAGCGUUAUCCGGAUUCAUUGGGUUUAAAGGGUGCGCAGGCGGGCGUAUAAGUCAGGGGUGAAAUGCCACGGCUCAACCGUGGAACUGCCUUUGAUACUGUAUGUCUUGAGUUUAGUUGAAGUGGGCGGAAUGUAGCAUGUAGCGGUGAAAUGCAUAGAGAUGCUACAGAACACCGAUAGCGAAGGCAGCUCACUAAGUUAAAACUGACGCUCAUGCACGAAAGCGUGGGGAUCAAACAGGAUUAGAUACCCUGGUAGUCCACGCUGUAAACGAUGAUCACUCGUUGUUGGCGAUAUACCGUCAGCGGCCAAGCGAAAGUGAUAAGUGAUCCACCUGGGGAGUACGAUCGCAAGGUUGAA